rnacentral:rRNA from 1 species
GACGAACGCUGGCGGCGUGCUUAACACAUGCAAGUCGAACGGAAAGGCCCUGCUUUUGUGGGGUGCUCGAGUGGCGAACGGGUGAGUAACACGUGAGUAACCUUCCCUUGACUUUGGGAUAACUUCAGGAAACUGGGGCUAAUACCUGAUAGGAGCUCCUGCUGCAUGGUGGUGGUUGGAAAGUUUCGGCGGUUGGGGAUGGACUCGCGGCUUAUCAGCUUGUUGGUGGGGUAGUGGCUUACCAAGGCUUUGACGGGUAGCCGGCCUGAGAGGGUGACCGGCCACAUUGGGACUGAGAGACGGCCCAGACUCCUACGGGAGGCAGCAGUGGGGAAUAUUGCACAAUGGGCGGAAGCCUGAUGCAGAAACGCCGCGUGCGGGAUGACGGCCUUCGGGUUGUAAACCGCUUUAGCCUGUGACGAAGCGUGAGUGACGGUAAUGGGUAAAGAAGCACCGGCUAACUACGUG